rnacentral:rRNA from 1 species
AGGAAAGCAGGGGAUCGCAAGACCUUGCGCUUUUGGAGCGGCCGAUGUCUGAUUAGCUAGUUGGUGAGGUAAAGGCUUACCAAGGCUUCGAUCAGUAGCUGGUCUGAGAGGACGACCAGCCACACUGGGACUGAGACACGGCCCAGACUCCUACGGGAGGCAGCAGUGGGGAAUUUUGGACAAUGGGGGCAACCCUGAUCCAGCCAUGCCGCGUGAGUGAAGAAGGCCUUCGGGUUGUAAAGCUCUUUCAGCCGGAACGAAAAGGUUACGGUUAAUACCCGUGACUAAUGACGGUACCGGAAGAAGAAGCACCGGCUAACUACGUGCCAGCAGCCGCGGUAAUACGUAGGGUGCGAGCGUUAAUCGGAAUUACUGGGCGUAAAGCGUGCGCAGGCGGUUUUGUAAGUCAGGUGUGAAAUCCCCGGGCUUAACCUGGGAACUGCGUUUGAAACUACAAAGCU